UUUCCGUAGGUGAACCUGCGGAAGGAUCAUUAAAGUUAUAGCCCCCCGGCCCCUCCGGGCUGGGGUCUUCUAUACCACCCUUUGUUUAUUACACCUUUGUUGCUUUGGCAGGCCUGCCCUCGGGCUGCUGGCUCCGGCCGGCUCGUGCCUGCCAGAGGACCUAAACUCUGUUUGUAUAUGAAGUCUGAGUACUAUAUAAUAGUUAAAACUUUCAACAACGGAUCUCUUGGUUCUG
rnacentral:misc_RNA from 1 species